rnacentral:lncRNA from 1 species
GCCACCGCCAUGACCACCAUGGCCGCCACCGCGAUCCCCAUUACCUUCUCCUGGAUGGCCCCCGUAUCCAGCACCAGGAUGCCCUCCAUGACCUCCUCCAUGGUGAUCUCCAUAUCCUCCAUGGUACUUGGCUUCUUCUUCCUCAUUUGUCUCAACUGUCUUGGCUGCAAUAAAGAUAAAUAGGGUAUGGGCGUUAGUUACUGUAAUCGCAAUUUUGAAAAUGUAAAGUUUGGACCAAAUUGUGUACAUGCUUUUAGGUUACCGAGUAUAUUUGCAAAACACAUCGUAAUCCUUUUGAAAAUUUGCCUUUUAACGUAUGCGUCAAAUUAUUAUUUUACAGAUAUCUUUAAAAUGGCUAAUUACUACCAACUAAUAGCUAUUUUAUCAUAGUUUCUGAAAGUUAAUAAAUAUAAAGAUUUGUUAACAGUAUGUUCAAAAUGAGAAUCUUAAAUCCAUAUUUUAUGCACCGAGACGCACCAUUACCAUUAUAAAAUAUAGUUUUACUCUAAAAAUACAGGAAGAGUAAUCCAGUCACAAACGACUAUACUCCCAACUCCCACGUUUGGAAAGGCUUGACACUUAGAAUCCAGUAACUGAAAGUGGAGGUGUAUUCAAUCUUUUUAACCACAGCUCAGCCAUGUUUCUUAGCACUCCGACACUUCACAUGUACAACAAAAAUCUAUUUUUGUUUUUUGAAGGGCAACAAAAAUCUAUCUGAAACGUUAAACGCUGUGGUCCUAAAUACUGAAUUAAAACAUGGCGCAUAUAAAUUAGAAAGAGAAAAAAUAAUGAAAUGUGAAUUGGAGAAUAAAUGUCUUACAAUCGUCAACUGACUUGGCAGCCACCUCUGAGGUAAUCAUUAGAACUACAGCCAUGGAAAUGCAAAAGAAAAGAAGUGUCUUGGAACCCAUUUUUGCUCAAGGAAAAUUUGUGUACUGAAGACUGAUUUUGA